rnacentral:rRNA from 1 species
GACGAACGCUGGCGGCGUGCCUAAUACAUGCAAGUAGAACGCUGAAGGAGGAGCUUGCUCUUCUGGAUGAGUUGCGAACGGGUGAGUAACGCGUAGGUAACCUGCCUGGUAGUGGGGGAUAACUAUUGGAAACGAUAGCUAAUACCGCAUAAUAACAGUUGUUGCAUGACAACUGUUUGAAAGGUGCAAUUGCAUCACUACCAGAUGGACCUGCGUUGUAUUAGCUAGUUGGUGGGGUAACGGCUCACCAAGGCGACGAUACAUAGCCGACCUGAGAGGGUGAUCGGCCACACUGGGACUGAGACACGGCCCAGACUCCUACGGGAGGCAGCAGUAGGGAAUCUUCGGCAAUGGACGAAAGUCUGACCGAGCAACGCCGCGUGAGUGAAGAAGGUUUUCGGAUCGUAAAGCUCUGUUGUAAGAUAAGAACGAGUGUGA